rnacentral:rRNA from 1 species
AGCGGACAGAUGGGAGCUUGCUCCCUGAUGUUAGCGGCGGACGGGUGAGUAACACGUGGGUAACCUGCCUGUAAGACUGGGAUAACUCCGGGAAACCGGGGCUAAUACCGGAUGGUUGUUUGAACCGCAUGGUUCAAACAUAAAAGGUGGCUUCGGCUACCACUUACAGAUGGACCCGCGGCGCAUUAGCUAGUUGGUGAGGUAAUGGCUCACCAAGGCAACGAUGCGUAGCCGACCUGAGAGGGUGAUCGGCCACACUGGGACUGAGACACGGCCCAGACUCCUACGGGAGGCAGCAGUAGGGAAUCUUCCGCAAUGGACGAAAGUCUGACGGAGCAACGCCGCGUGAGUGAUGAAGGUUUUCGGAUCGUAAAGCUCUGUUGUUAGGGAAGAACAAGUACCGUUCGAAUAGGGCGGUACCUUGACGGUACCUAACCAGAAAGCCACGGCUAACUACGUGCCAGCAGCCGCGGUAAUACGUAGGUGGCAAGCGUUGUCCGGAAUUAUUGGGCGUAAAGGGCUCGCAGGCGGUUUCUUAAGUCUGAUGUGAAAGCCCCCGGCUCAACCGGGGAGGGUCAUUGGAAACUGGGGAACUUGAGUGCAGAAGAGGAGAGUGGAAUUCCACGUGUAGCGGUGAAAUGCGUAGAGAUGUGGAGGAACACCAGUGGCGAAGGCGACUCUCUGGUCUGUAACUGACGCUGAGGAGCGAAAGCGUGGGGAGCGAACAGGAUUAGAUACCCUGGUAGUCCACGCCGUAAACGAUGAGUGCUAAGUGUUAGGGGGUUUCCGCCCUUUAGUGCUGCAGCUAACGCAUUAAGCACUCCGCCUGGGGAGUACGGUCGCAAGACUGAAACUCAAAGGAAUUGACG